GACGAACGCUGGCGGCGUGCCUAAUACAUGCAAGUAGAACGCACAGUUUAUACCGUAGCUUGCUACACCAUAGACUGUGAGUUGCGAACGGGUGAGUAACGCGUAGGUAACCUGCCUGGUAGCGGGGGAUAACUAUUGGAAACGAUAGCUAAUACCGCAUAAUAUUGAUUAUUGCAUGAUAAUUGAUUGAAAGAUGCUAUUGCAUCACUACCAGAUGGACCUGCGUUGUAUUAGCUAGUAGGUGAGGUAACGGCUCACCUAGGCGACGAUACAUAGCCGACCUGAGAGGGUGAUCGGCCACACUGGGACUGAGACACGGCCCAGACUCCUACGGGAGGCAGCAGUAGGGAAUCUUCGGCAAUGGACGAAAGUCUGACCGAGCAACGCCGCGCGAGUGAAGAAGGUUUUCGGAUCGUAAAGCUCUGUUGUAAGAGAAGAACGGGUGUGAGAGUGGAAAGUUCACACUGUGACGGUAUCUUACCAGAAAGGGACGGCUAACUACGUG
rnacentral:rRNA from 1 species